GUUGCCAUUCAAUUUGUGUUCCUCAUUUUGCGCUUCAUUUAAUGUGAAACGACAUAAAUAUAAAUCUUCAAAAUCAUCACCUCCAGAAACCAGGUUGUUGUUGUGGUGGAUAAGCUGAGUCUGAGGGCGGUGGGAAGCCAGGAGGUUGAGAUGAUGGUAGUGGCGGUGCUGAUGCUGGAUAACCUUGAUGAGGAGGCAGUGGUUGACCAUAAGGUGCCCCAUAGGCCGGAGGAUAUCCUACUGCUGGCCCAUAAGGCUGAUGA
rnacentral:lncRNA from 1 species